GAUGAACGCUGGCGGCGUGCUUAACACAUGCAAGUCGAACGAUGAAGCUGGAGCUUGCUCCGGUGGAUUAGUGGCGAACGGGUGAGUAACACGUGAGCAAUCUGCCCUUGACUCUGGGAUAACUGCGGGAAACUGUAGCUAAUACCGGAUACGCGGCUCGAAAGCAUCUUCGGGUCUGGAAAGAAUUUCGGUCAAGGAUGAGCUCGCGGCCUAUCAGUUUGUUGGGGAGGUAAUGGCUCACCAAGGCGACGACUGGUAGCCGGCCUGAGAGGGUGACCGGCCACACUGGGACUUGGACACGGCCCAGACUCCUACGGGAGGCAGCAGUGGGGAAUAUUGCACAAUGGGCGAAAGCCUGAUGCAGCAACGCCGCGUGAGGGAUGAAGGCCUUCGGGUUGUAAACCUCUUUUAGCAGGGAAGAAGCGAAAGUGACGGUACCUGCAGAAAAAGCACCGGCUAACUACGUGCCAGCCGCCGCAGUAA
rnacentral:rRNA from 1 species